rnacentral:ncRNA from 1 species
GAAAUUCUUCCACCGGGAAGAAAAAUGCAAAUUGCAUUCUAGAACAUAUCGAUAGGUCUUAGUAGAUAUGUUUUGAGAGUGCCUUAUUAU